CGAUCUCGGAGGGAGCUGAACCCGAAGGGGGCGGGCUCGGCGGGGGCGACCUCGCGGCGGGGGAGGAGGAGCCCCGGCCGCGGGAUCAUGGCCGAGCGAGGGUCGGAGUGGAAGGUGGUGCGGACGGGGGUGAUGAUGCGGUAGACGGAGACGAAUCCGUUGGGACGGUUGUUACCGGGGAUGGCAGCGUCGGUAGUGGUGGAGAUGGUGUAGGAGAUGAAGACAGUGUUGCAAGGGUGGAAGGGGACCCCGGGGCGAGCAGCGGCGGAGGCAGCGAGGAGGGAGAGGACGACGACGAGGAGGGGGAAGGCGGAGCCAGAGGAAGCCAUAGCGGGAUCAGCGGAGCGAAGGAAGAUGGGAAGAAUUGGAGU
rnacentral:lncRNA from 1 species